ensembl:lncRNA
GGAGGUUGGUCUGGUGACCCCCAGGGUGAUGUUGGGAGGUUGGUCUGGUGUCCCCCGGGGUGAUGUUGGAGGUAGGUCUGGUGACCCCCAGGGUGAUGUUGGGAGGUUGGUCUGGUGACCCCCGGGGUGAUGUUGGGAGGUUGGUCUGGUGACCCCCAGGGUGAUGUUGGGAGGUUGGUCUGGUGACCCCCAGGGUGAUGUUGGGAGGUUGGUCUGGUGUCCCCCAGGGUGAUGUUGGGAGGUAGGUCUGGUGUCCCCCAGGGUGAUGUUGGGAGGU